CGCCUCGCGUGAAGCGAAUGAAUUAUAGCCUCGCGUGGUUACAGGCUCACUCACCAUCACGCCCAAGGAGCUGGAGCCAAUCAAACCUGCGCCGCCGCCUCCCCCAAGCCCUCCGUCGACGUCGCCUGCCGGAGCUGGAAGCUGUGGCCAAUCAAACCUGCGCCGCCGCCUCGCCUCGUCUCCCCAUGCCCUCCGUCGACCUCAUCUGCCGGCGCGGGAGGAGCACUCCGCCGGCGCCUGCUGCCGGGAUGACCCCGCCAUCGCCAUGCUGCACGCCCUCCCUCACCACGCACGCCCUGCCCCGGGACGUCGCCGUAAGUCCAGGCUGCAGUUAUGCGUUGAUGAAGGAGAGCAUGAAUGCCCACAUAAGUGUUUGGGAGUAUUAAUUCUUCUGACCUUGAAGAAGCAUCAAGACAACAAUGUCACAAGCAGCUCCGAGACAACAUCGCAUUCCUCGGCGGGCCACCACACCCAUGCCCUUCGUCGGCGCAGCGUGGGUUCUGCUCCUUCUCCCCGGCCAACUCUGGUCGCCGUCCGAGCUCUAGCCGGAGGAGGAGUCCCGGAUAAAUCCGUGGAGAUAGCUCACUCAGUAGUACGCCAGGCGCUCAAACACAUGCCCUCAGCGACGUUGUCAUCAGGUCUCAUAUAUCUAAGAUAUACAUGUCUAAUAGUCUACUAGGAAGCAUGGCAGCCUGCCAACAUGUGGUGGUGACGUAGCACAAGUGACCGGCUGGACCAUGCUCCACCGGCUGCCACCCAUGCGUAGGUGCACGAGGGAGUUGAAGCCUGAGAUAGAGAGGUUUAGAGGGAGGAGAUGAGCGGCUGGCGACCACGUACAACUGCACUCUGGCCCGCGUCACCACCUCGCCAUGCACCCUCCUGCUCGGGCCUCCCCGCCGCCCAGACCAACAAGAUGCGACAGUGCUGCCCGUACCCUUCUCCCUGGUCAGUUCCAUCGCUGGCGCCUGCUGCGGGGUGAGGCUGCCAUGCUGCACGCCCUGCUCCAGGACAUUGCCGUACCUCCAGGUUGCAGUUAUAGGAGAGGAUGCAUGCCCAGACAAUUGUUUUGGAGCAUUCUUCAGACCUUGAAGCAACACCAAGACAACAUCGUCACAAGGAGCUUGAUUUAGUUUCCCUGAAUGGACUAGUGUAUCAAGUUGGUAGCUUGAUGCCUAAUUAUUGUUCAAUUUUAUAGGCUCCAGUUAUGUGUUGAUGAAGGAGAGCAUGCAUGCCCAGAUAGUUGUUUUGGAGCAUUCUCCCCAGCCAACUCUGGUCGCCAUCCGAGCUCUAAGAGGAGUCCUGGAUAAAUCGGUGGAGAUAGCUCACGCAGAAGUGCGCCGGCCGCUCAAACACAUGCCCUCAGCGUCGUCAUCGUCAGGUGCAACGCUGAGACAAAGGCAGCCAUGUCGAUGCUCAUCUGCAAUGGGUGUUAGAGCCUCUUUACGUACAACCACAGUGCCACUGGAACUGUCUCAACUCCACAAGAGCAGUGAGGAGCGACGACAGGGAGGAAAUGGGCGCGACCGAGCAGGAGGUCAAGAUGGCUUCCCCAAUGUCCAUCGAGGCGGCCUCGGCGCUGCCCUUCAGGAGAUUGUCAACCUCGCCACCCAAAGUUGGAGAGGAUCAAAGGCUGAGUGGACACCCCACAGUCACGCCAUGGCUGAGUUUCCAGUUAACAGAAACUAAGCAUUUGGACCACUCCGGCCUUUUUAGUCUAUAGAGGCGACAUAGGAGCUGUGGUACAUGUGUUGAGGCCCUUCCUCGGUCGUUUGACUUGGCCAAGGUGCUGAGGACCGAGGUCCAUGCUGAUGGCCUCUUAGAGCUUCUUUGCUGCCUGCCACUAGACACCGGGAGAAAGAUGGUGGUGGCCGCAGGGAGCAUGGGAGCUAUGGUGGCAGCUGGACGCUAGGAGCUGUCCGAGGUGGUCGAUGCCAAGGAAGAGAAUGGCGGCACAUGAAAAGAAAGGACAUGAUUUUGUCGAAAAGGGCGUCCCUAUUUUCAUCACCUGCUGGUACAAUGCGUGAGGGAAUGACUUGAUCUGGCUGUCCGAUUUGUCUCCUUGUCUCAACAGCAUGCUCUGCUUCAGCUCGCAGGCGACAUAUAGGAGCUGUGGUACAUGUGUUAAGGCCCUUCCUCGGUCGUUUGACUCGGCCAAGGCGAUGAGGACCGAGUUCCAGGGUGAUGCCCUCUUGGAGCUUCUUUGCUGCCUGCCACUUGACACCAGGAGAAAGAUGGUGGCGGCAGCAGGGAGCAUGGGAGCUAUGGUUGCAGCUGGACUCUAGGAGCUGUCCGAUGUGGUCCACGCCAAGGAAGAGAAUGGCGGCACACAAAAAGAAAGGACAUGAAUUUUCCGAAAAGGGCGUCCUAUGGUCAUCGCCUUCUGGUACAAUGCGUGAGGGAAUGACUCAAGCUGGCUGUCUGAUUUGUCUCCUUCCUUGCCUUAACAUCGUGCUUUGCUUCAGGUUGCAGGUUAUGACCUCCCUUCUUACUUCUCACUUCUGGCUGGUUUGCUUUGGUUGGUACAACAAACCGGACGUGUUUGUGGAAGUGCUUAUCAGAGAUGAAAUAUUUGUUUAUGCCUAGCCUUUGUUUCCUUUCUAGGGAUGCAUUCUUAUGCUAGCUGAGAUGCAUAUGGUUUUCCUUUUAGACUAGUGCAUUCUUAUAUAGCUUUGUGAUGUUCAAUUUUGAUGCUGCCAUUUUAAAAUUGAUUGUGGGAUUUCUAAGCAGUUGGGUAUGUACCUGGAGACAUUCAUUUGGUUGUGAAUAUCACUGUAUAGUUAGAUCAGGCCUAAUAAGUAAACCAAUAAGAAGAGAAUGUAGUUUGUGAUUAAAGGUUUCUUAAUAGUCUCUGCAAUCAAUCGUUUAUCUCCUGAUGUAGGAGUACUAGUAGCAGUAGUACCUAACAGUGCAUCUUGUUUUGUUUUAUGUAUUACUAUUCGUAGACCACACCAGGGAGGCCAUCGGUUGCUUCUCUGGAUCUUUCUAUGAAGAAUGGUCAUCAUCAUGUUUUUCUAUUUGGUUGAGUUUAGAUAUGUGGCAUAUGUCAUUUUCUUCUGAUAAAUAUGCCCACAAAUUAGCCCAUGAUGUCCAGCUUUAUUGAAGAAUUGCAGUUUUUAAUAUUUGGGUUACAAAUUUUAAUUGAGAUCCAAAUUUAGAAUAACCGUAGUUACCAUUAAUGAGUAUCACUUCUGAUGGGGUCUUGCUACUCGUGCCCACCGGCGUUGAUGUCGGCAACCUGCUCUGCCUGACCCCCUUCUCCAGAUGCUCAAGGUAUUCCCUAUUCCACUGAAAAAUCGGUUCUUUCUUGUCGCAUGUUGGGCAGAUGUUACAGGUUGCAGUGUUGUAGCUCAGUUCUGGGAGGAAGAUGAUGGUCUGUUUGUAACAUUGAAACACCACCAUGAUUUUUUUUUGUGUCUUCUAGUAGUUGUCAUCAUAUGAAUUCCUUGACAUGAUGUUUGCUAAGAAUAUGACGAGCAAUAUCUGUCUCCUGUGGGAUCGUGUUAUUUGAGCAACUCAUAUUUCUGUGUUGGUACAGUCCAAAAAUGAUACAUGAAAACAGAGCUAGGCAGGUUUGUUUGUAGCAUCUUGGCAUCAAUCAUACCUAUUACUUUUUGUCAGUUCUGUAGAUUAGAUCAGGACAAGUUCAUUGUUCUCCAACGUUAUCCAGUUCUUGAUCAAGCUUCUGAAACCCAUCACAUAUAUUAACACCUGAGCUGAUAGCUAUGAUAUUUUUUGUGUAAUAUAUAACUUCCUCAAAGCUGGUACCUGCACUGCUUGUUUUAACGCUUCAUAUGACUUCCUUUAUUUUCACCUCGGAUGUUCUAAAUUACAACUAUAUUUCUACUCAUUUGCAUGAUAAUUGGCUGAUAUGGAUUGCAAGUGAUAUUCUUCUCGUCUUUUUUUCUUUUGCUACUAUCCUGCUAUUUUCAGUUUACCAUCUUUGCUUAUGCUUAUCCAGUUGCCUCAUGUGAAGGUGAAUCUUUUAUUUGGUAGUGUUGUCGUGCAGGUGACAAGGUGAGCUUGUUCAACUGGUGGCAGUCAGAGGCGACGGAGCAGCGCGUAUGUUGUUGUUCUCCCCAUGAAGAUAUGAUGUGGAUCUGGACACUUGAACCGGCCAGCGGGACAUGCUUUUAUUUGUGAUGUUGCAGUGGAUUAAGUUCUAGUUAGCUAUGCUGGCCUGGAGCAUCUUCAACAGUCUGGAGUAUUUUACCAUUGUGGUGUAUAAUGUUUUUGCUGAAAGGUUUGUAACAAAUAGGUUUUGUUGUGUGAUGUUUGCCUUGUCGAGACAUGCGAUGGCUUAUUAUUGAUGUCCUUAAUACAAACAGUUUGGCAUUAGCUAGCU